rnacentral:lncRNA from 1 species
ACUGAGCGAGGCCAGGGAUCAAACCUGCAUCCUCAUGGUUACUAGUCAGAUUUGUUUCCUCCAAUCCACAACAGUAACUCCCUGCUGUCCUUUUGACUUUAGAUCUCUGCUUCCAAAACUACUAGAUGUGAACUCUACCUGGUUAGUACAUGUUUAGUACCACUGUCCACCGAGUCACCUAAGCCUAGGCAUCAUUUUUGAGUGUUUCAGCUUGACCUUUUUUUUUUUUGUUUGUUUGUUUGAUACUAUCAGUUACCAAAUAUAUAAAAAAUAUCGAUUAGGAAAAAAUGGAAUCUGUCUUCUUAUUCCCAUCUUUAUUGCCCUUUUCUGAAUUAUUCUAAGUGUGUAUACUCUUAUCUUUUAGUCCUUUUCUCUACCUUCAGCAAUUUAAAUAGCCCGUUAACUUUCAUUGUGUCCACCUAACCAGUCAGGUUGGUCUUUCUGACCUUGUUACUGCCCAGAGCUCUUCUAUAGUAUCUAAUUAUUGACCUCAAUAUUUCUUGGAGCCCUAUGGGUAUUUCAAAGAUUGGUUGAGAAUCUCCUCAGGCAAGUGAGUAGGACUCUGGUAGUCUAACCCUGGUCAGCCAGAGUUAACUUUGAUUUUGCUCUGUUUUCCUUUUGAGGAUUAAGCACAAAGAUCCAUUCUUCAAAGGAAGAUCCUCUGCAGAACAGAUUUUGCAUUUGAUCCUGUUGCCCCAGCAUGGCCACCCCCGAACACUGUCUCACUAGGGCCUCCUCUGGUUUUCUCUGCUCUGUCGCUAUACCCUCUUUAUUGCUUUCACAGCUGGUUGUUUUGUGUAUUGUACAUUUGGAUGUAUGUAUGUGGGGACACACACCCACACCUACCACAUACUCUUUAUUGCCACCAUUGUAUCCUAACCUUCCCUGCACAAAGAUUUGUUUUAUUCAUCAAUUAUCCUUUUAGCACCUGGCAUGAUGCUUCUACACAGUGUUUAGGCCAUUUAUACUUAAUGUAAUUAGUGACAUGACUGUGUUUAAAUCUGUCUUGUUGCUGUUUCCUAUUUGUCUCAUCUGUUAUGUUUUCUUUUCCCCUCCUCCCUUGCCUUCCAGUUAUUUAUUUAUUGUGGCCAAGCUGCAGCAUGCAGAAAUUCUUGGGUCAGGGAUCCAACCCACGCCACAACGGCAACCUCAGCUGCUGUAGUGAUAAACGCUGUAUCUUCAACCUGCUGUGCCACAAAAGAACUUCUCUCCUUCUUUUAGAUUAAUUGUAUUUUUUUUUUUAGUAUUUUAAUUUAUUCUACUAUUGGCUUUCUCUUUUAAAAAUUAGUUCCCAGGCUAGGGGUUGAAUCAGAGCUGUAGCUGCCAGCCUACACCACAUGCCACAGCAAUGUGGGAUCCAAGCCACAUCUGUGACCUACACCACAAGCUCACACCAAUGCCAGAUCCUUAACCUACUGAGUGAGGCAAGGGAUCGAACCCGCAUCCUCAUGCUGAGCCACGAUGGGAACUCCAGCUUUUGCUUGAUUUUUUCAAGAUAUUUUUACUGGAUAUAGAAUUAUAGGUCAUCGGUUUUAUGCUUUAAGCUCUUCAGUGAUCCCAUUCCAACUUCUGCUUUACAUAGUUUUAGAUGCAACAUCUGUAUUCAUUUUUCUUUCUUCCUCUGUAUGUAACUUAACAUUUUCUUCAACUGCUUUUAAGAUUUUCUCUCUGUCAUUGGCUCCUGCAGUUUACUUAUUUUGUGCCUUGGCAUGUGUUUUUUGGUAUGUGUAUUUAUUCUUGCUUGAGGUUUGAUGAGUGUUUUGGAUUUGUAGGUUUGCAGUCUUCAUCAAUUUUAGAAAUUUUUUUUAACCAUUACUUCUUCAAAUAGUGCUUUUGGUUCAUCCCUGAAAUUCCAACAACAGGUGCAUUAGACUAUUGCUAUUGUUCCAAAGGCCACUGAGGCUUUGUGCACUUUACCCAUUGGUUUUAUUGUCUAGGCUUCACUUCGGAGAGUUACUAUUUCCAUUUUCCAAGUUUCCUGAUCUUUUCUUCCACAGAAUCUAUAGUCUUUUUCUCCCACCCAUUAAAAUUUAUUGUUUUAGAUAUUGUAUAUCUUACCUUUCAAAGCUCUAUUUUUAUAUCUUCUAUUUUCUCAUCAUAAAAAAGAAGCUCCUUAGACACUGAGAUCCCAGAAUUUUUAUUGGGGCUGAUGACAUGGCACAUCCCCAACUUCAGACUUCCUGAGGGGAAGCAGUUGUUCAGCAUAAACUGUAUUGUUUGUACCAACAAUUUAGGCACGGUGAGCCACUCCUAUCAGCUCUGGGAAUGGUGGGCCCCUCUUAAAAUUUAAGUUUUUCACUGCUAGCUAAGGGCUAAUCAUGCAAGCAGGCCUUUCAAAGACUAUGGUGCCAUGUUUGCAGUGUGUCUUCUCCAUUAUUUGCUUAAUCAUUUAUUCAUAUAGUUAUAGACUCAUAGAUAUUUGUUUUACACUUUGGGUUAUAUUCAAACACUGCAUUGUUUGUUUUGUUUCUCAGAGUGUUAGUUUUGCCUGUUGGCAGCUCUAUCAGUUGGCUCCCAUAUCCCUUUGACAUACUCAUAUUAUUUUGUGUUUUGAGCCCUUUCCCACUUUCUGGCUAAACAAGAUAUUCCAGGCUUAUUUUGUGUGUUCCACAUCCUUGCUCUAGAAUCAGCCAUUUUUCCAAGGAGCUCUGCUUUCUUUCUGUAAUGAA